rnacentral:rRNA from 1 species
AUCCUGGAACUGGGGCUAAUACCCUAUAAUUGUUGAGUGCUGGAAUGCUUCAACAUUGAAAGCUCCGGCGGCUAAGAAUAGGGCUGCGGCCUAUCAUGGCAGUUGUGAGUAUAAGAUACUCACAAACCUAUAACGGGUAGGGGCCAUGAGAGUGGAAGCCUCGAGAUGCAUUCUGAGACAUGAAUGCAGGUCCUACGGGACGCAGCAGGCGCGAAAACUUUCCAAUGCCUUAACGGGUGAGAGGGGAACCCUGAGUGGAUACGUUUUACGUAUUCUUUUGUCUUGUCUAAACAGCAGGGCGAAUAAGUGGUGGGUAAGACGGGUGGCAGCCGCCGCGGUAAUACCCGCGCCACGAAUAGUGACCGCGAUUAUUGGGUUUAAAGCGUCCGUAGCCGGUCUGAUAAGUUCCUGGUGAAAUUUGCUAGCUAACUAGUAAGCUUGCUGGGAAAACUGCCAGGCUCGGGAUCGGGAUAGGAUAGGGGUAUUCCAUGAGUAGGGGUUAAAUCCUUUAAUACAUGGAGGACCACCGGUGGCGAAGGCGCCUAUCUGGAACGAGUCCGACGGUGAGGGACGAAAGCUAGGGGAGCAAACGGGAUUAGAUACAAACUUUCUGAUCCGAUGAUUUCAAAGAUGAUUGGAGGUUUGCUAGAAACCCCGGUAGUCCUAGCUGUAAACGAUGCCCGUUUGAUGUUGCAGGCUCUACGGGAGCUUGCAGUGUCGGAGCGUAAGUGUUAAACGGGCCACCUGGGGAGUACGACCGCAAGGUUGAAACUUAAGGGAAUUGGCGGGAGAGCACACAAGAGGUGGAGGCUGCGGUUUAUUG